GCUGAAGUAGCUCAGUUGGGAGAGCGUUAGACUGAAGUUUUAAAGGUACCCAGUUCAAUCUUGGGCUUUGGCA